rnacentral:rRNA from 1 species
AACUCUCAACGAUGGAUGCCUCGGCUCGAGAAUCGAUGAAGGACGCAGCGAAGUGCGAUAAGCACUGCGAUUUGCAGAAUUCGGUGAACCAGUAGAAAUCUCAACGCAUACU